UUUAUUGUUAUUUUUUUUAGGUUUUCUGCGGUUUUUCUUUUAAAAGCCGGUUUUAUAUUUUAGAUAGGUUAAUUAGUGGACGUUCUCUGUUUAGGUCUUAUAAACGAGCGUUCGCUAUUUAGCUUUUUCUUUUUCUGUUAUUUUCGCCAGGGACCUAGUUGUAGUUAUUUUAUUUACAAAUUAGUCCCUGAUUUUCAAACAACCACAUCUUUUUACUCGUUUGUCCAAAUCCAACGAAACCAACGCCCACGCCUUCGUUAUGAUCUCCUCUAACCAGUAAAACAACUUAAACAUGUUUUUGAAAGUUUUAAAAUUUGAAUUCAAACAGAUUUGUAUUCAAACUUCUUUUGUUCAUAACUUGAGUUCCGUAGCUCCGUUUGAGUUGAUUCUUUUUGCAACUCGAAGCUCUUGACCUAAACUUCUGAUAAGGCCAAAUUCACAUAAUUUUGGUACUGUUAGAAAUUGUUUUAUGUUGCAAGAGUUAAUUGCUUGGUUUUGAAGUUUUCCGAAUUGUUUUCCUUGUUCUUUCUGAUCUUUUGAGUGAUUGCUUAUGUGUGGUUACCAUUGCUUGCUUACGAUAGAUUGACCGGAGUGUGACGAGUAGAUCUAUCAAGAGUUUUGAGUGCGAAUCAUCUUCAUCAACAUUGCAGGCAAGUUCACACUUUGAUCAUACCCCGUUCAUACCUAGUUUUUAUUGCAUUAGAUCUGUUUCCCUCAAACACUUGCAUGAUUAGGAUCUAAUUAAAUUGUGGGAACUGGGAAGUAGUUGAGGUAGUACCUAUUUCCUGUUUUCUUAUCAAACCCUGGGGAGUUACUUCUACGUUGCUUUUAUUAUUGCCAUGCUAUGCUCGUAGACGUGGAUUUGGGUUUGAGUGAUAUUCAUGACAGAUGUGAGAUGUUAUUAAUGGUUUAACGUAAGGUGGCAACUAAAACUCACAUCUGGGUGGAUUGAGACACCUGGAGAACCCAGUGUUGUCUGUAUGUAUAAGGUCCGCCACCCAGGCUCAAAGGGAUCAUAAGAUUAUUCAUGCUAGAAACUUCCGUGUGCAGCCACAAGCUAUUAUGGGCUCUAGCAUAGCUGAGUAGGUUACAGGAUCUCUUGAAGAGGUGGACUAGCAGAUGUAGGGGAAAGUAGGUGUACCGGUCCAUCCAGAGUAAAGAGUGAUUGUUUCUGAAAGGCCGUGUCUCGGUCAUCCGUUUCUCAAACAUCAUGCAGUGCGAGAAUCAAGCGGAGGCAAUCGAGGCUUGUGGGUAAAAGUGCACAAACCUCUGCAGAGUGUACAAACUAAUCAUGAUUAGCCGUGUCCCCGGUUAUGGACAACUUGAGUAUCUAGUUCUUGGAUUAUCCCGUUGAUCUCAUCAUGUUACUUUAAUUAAUCUUGUUGGGUUAAUGAUGAUACUUAAUUGGGAUUGAGAUGCUGUCAACCAUCUCAAUGUUUCCCAACCACCAUGAUAGUUAAAUAAAAUUUAUUCCUUUGAAGUAGGGAAAAAUUGGCUUUUUGCAAAAACAUUAUAACCAUAGAGCUUUUCCACCAGCCAUAUAUGCAUGUAGUGAUAGCCUUUGUUCAUCAUUUCUCUAUGGUGUGAAUUUGCCAGUACAUUCAAUGUACUGACCCGUUUUCGGGCUGCAACGUUUCAUGUUGCAGGAUUCUUACGACGAGUAAGUGAUACGUUAGGGUUACGAUUUCUACACUCAACUUUGCCGUUGGUGUUGAUGGGAAUCCACAACCUUGUUACUUCCGCUAUUUGGAUUGAGGUAAUGGUAUUUACGUUACUUUAUACAUGUGAUUUACCUCUGUUAUAAAUCCUCGAGUACUGUGUGUGUCAGCAUACCGAUCCAGGGAUGACACUUAAGCACAGAGACUUGAUCCAUUCGGGUCGGGUCGCUACAAGAUGGUAUCAGAGCACAUGUUGACUGUAGGACGUGACCCUAGAAACUAGCAAGCCCAUAGGAAGGAUUUUCUCUAAAAACUUUCCUUUUCAAAAAAGAUUUUUACCUCUCUUCUCUUCUGAGUUAAUUCAAAUAUUCCCUUUUAGUGAGACCAUACCCUUUUCCCUUUUGGACCACUCGAAGAUUCGACGGAUGAGACCACUCCAAGAAGUACAAGAUAUCGGACAACUAAGACCAUUCGGAAUGAAGAGGAUUUUACCGUGCAUUAUGAUAAUGGAAACUACAAUGGUUGAAGAUUCCGAAGACUGGGAGAAUUUGAAGGCUCUGAAGAAUUGCCAGAUGUGUAUGACCUAGGAAGGUUACCCUUAUGGAACAUGGCAGACUAUGGAAGUUGUCGAUGCCCGAGAACAAGGUGUAUCGGAGAAAGACCGAAACAUGGUGAGUUAGAAACUCAAAGUUCUGUCAAGGAAAACCCUUAGGCAGGAGAUAUCAACUAUGGAGAGAUAGCUCACGGAAAUGACAAGAGCAGAAACACGGAUACCCAUGAGGUUAUCACCCGCUUAUGAUAUUGUCACCGUGCGGAGUUAAGCAUGCAGAAGCAUGGAAGGAUUGGAUGGUAGAAAGCUGAUGGAUCACCUCUCAGCAAGAUGAAGUUUUAACUUUAGACCGGUGUAUCACCAGGAUCUGGAGUAUUACAUCAGGAAGUUAAGAUGAACCUUCAGGAAGCAGUAUUCGACAAGUAAGCAUUUCGUGAAGGACUCAGAACCCAGAAACUGAAAGUAGCCAAGCUGGGAAAGCAAAACCUCGAGAUAACGGAGACUCGUCAAGGAACUGAAGGCCAGUAGGAUCAUGGUUCAUUUCAAGGAUGUUGAAACCCAGAAGUUGGAGCGCAACUCCAGAAAUAUUAAAGGACGUCAUGAGAGACUUCGCGUCAACAGAGAUGAUUUGGCAAAAGAACUUGAGAAGGACAAGCAUGAUUGGAAGAAGCCAUCGGAGACAUGAACAAGAUUCCAAAGAGUUUGGCGACUUUGAAGAUUUUGACCUCUAGAAGACCCAACCCCUGCUAUACCUACGUUAGAUGCGACGUUUGUGAGCUGUCAUUUGUUUGUUGUUUUUCCGACAGCCACAAUAAAAAUCAGUCUCUUCAAAACUAUUGUUUGUAUUGUGUGCAUCCCUCUCGACCUCUCUUAUCUCACCCCAAACCCAUGGACCCAAUAGAGGAUGAAUGGAGAUGAGCUUGUAUUUUCUGGACCGAUGAGUCAAUUGGAGACGGACCGAUGGAUUCAGAACAUGGAGGAUCACAUGAAGAAUAACCCUAUAGUCGGAAAUGAUAUGACCCAGCAUGCUCUUCAAUGUUUUGAAAGAGCUGCUGCUACUUGGUGGAGGAUGUACCAAACCAUCAAUGGAUGGCAAGAAGUAACCACUUGGAAAGAAUUUAAGUGGACUCUACAAAGAUCUCGUCUUGUGUCCCAGAAAUUGAAGCCUUAUGGAAAGGAUAUGAAGGAACCUUCUGCAUACAAUCCUUGUGGAGAAAUAGGACACAACCAUAAGGAACACAAGGAUGAAUGCCCAAAUUGUGAAGGAAGUCACCCAGCUGAAGAAUGCCCAACUCGGCAGAUCACUUGUUUCUUGUGUGAAGGGACUACCCACUACCCUGCUCAGUGUCACAUCUACCCCAUGGUACAAAGGACUAUCCAGCCGAAGAAAGAAGCAAUGAAAAGAGCCCACAUGGAAAUUUUAGAGGAAUCUGUGAUGAAGGAAGAGGUGGAGGACACACCCAAAGAAGAACCAAAUAAACCCUGCACCAAGUCAUGCUAUUCAUGUGGAGAAGAAGGACACAUCUCCCAAAAUUGUCUGAAUGGGGAUUUAGUAGAAUUCCCGACAGAGGAAGUAGAGUAUGACCCACAGGAAAUAGAAGCCCUGAUUGGAACGGAAAAGUCCAGGAAGAGAAAUAGAUUGGAUCCCAGGAACAACCCAAUUUCUACAAAGAGAGACCUGAGUCAUAUCACAUGUUUCAGGUGCAAAAAUUCAGGACACUACUUCAGUGAUUGCCCAAAAGGGAAGAUGAGGACCCCAGGAGGCUAUAUAAUCACAAGGAAACCUCGAGAUAUGUCAGAAGUAAUAUGUUUCCGUUGUGAUGAAGCAGGGCACUUUGCCAGGGAAUGCCCCAAGGAGACGAAGACUUGUGAUAAAUAGUUGAGUGCAACGAGAAAUAUAGUAGUAGUAGUGUGGACAUUUCUUUUAUUAGUGAGGUGUCGGAUUGAGGCAUGUAAUGGAAUGCAGGAGAUUGAAAUAAUUUGAGAAUCAAUAAAGUUAGCAUCAUUGGUAUUGAUUUGGAUUCUAUGAGUUGUUACUCUAUGAAGAAAGAUUUUGACCAUUUUCGAGGAUAUGAGAAAUAUGGUCUAUGGAAGAUUGUGCAUUUUAAGGGUGGUAGUACCCUGUGAGGAAACUUGACCCUUGGAAAAGGUAAUGAUAUUCCACGAAGUGGAUUUCGAACAAAAUAAGUAUGAGUUUUAUCUCGAUAUGUUGGAUACCCCAAGAAUAUGAGGGUAUGGAGUAUUAUUGGAUGUAAAGGAGGUAGUCUAUGAAAUUGGAGACAGAGCAUGUCUUCGUGUGUCCCCUCAGCGAGGAGUUAAACUAUUUGGAGUUAAGGGAAAGUUAGCCCCGAGAUUUGUAGGACCAUACCGAGUUUUGGAGCGUAUGGGAGAAGUGACCUACAAGUUGGAGUUACCCGAAGGACUGUCAGGAGUUCAUGAUGUGUUUCAUGUUUCCCAGAUGAAGAAGUGCCAUGCAGAGAUGGCCAAUAUUCCCCUGUAAGGACGCUUGACCCUGGAAAGGAUAAUGAUGUUCCACGAAGUGGAGUAUGGACUUCAUAAGUAUAAGUUUUUAUCUCGGUAUGUGGGAAAUCCCACAAGAAAGAAGAGAUAAAUUAUUAUUGGAUAUAAAGGAGGUAUGAUGUUGGAAAUAUGGAUCAAUAGAAUUCCAUGAUGAGUCUGAGUAAUCAUGUCCUAGUUUGGUGCCAAUAGAAGGAAGGAAGACAGUACAAUUGGAUGGAUUUAAGAAUACUAGGAAGUUGGAUGUUGGAUUAAGGAUCAGUUGCCCUAUGAUAAGUUCAAGGAACUACAAGUGAUGAGAUGGGCCAUAACCCGCAGGCCCCAGGACCUGCCAAGAAGCAAGCACACUCUUGUUGAAGGGAAGACCCUGGAAGAAGUUACGAUUUUAUCGACAGACGAUCUUAUAGGAGUUACGCAAAACCUGAGAGUUGUGAAGGAACGAUAGAUGUUUGUUUGGCUUGUAGAAUCCAUGGAUUUAUCCGAACAUGGUUCGUCGACAAGAGAAAUUCUGCAAUGCUUGCGAGGUUGACCGAGUGUUAGAAUGCGAGAUUCGCUAAACCAUAUACAAGGUAAUGAUUUGGGUGCGGGAUGGAUUGAUCACCAUACCGACUUACUCUUAUUAUUCGCUUUGCUAUACGGGAUGGUAAAUCUGAGUGACUUACCUAUAGUAGAGAGACGACGAUCAAACCUUGCUUGAAGCUUAGAAUGGUAUAAGAAUGUUUCCCUUGUACACGGCAGUUCUUGCCAAUCGUAGGUUAUACGGUGAGGUUCAACCCAGACCCAUUUCCUGCAGGAGAAACCGUAAAUUGUUGACCACCAUGAGAUGUCGAUAGUUGUUUAGUAUUGGCGCCUGACCCGUCAGCUAUGAAGACCCAGUCUCAGAAUAACCUUACCAAGAUGAAAGGCUCCGGAGUCCGCGUGCCCCAGCGGGACUCGCCGGAGUCCGCCGCCCCCACGGCGCCCGUCGCCCCCUCCUCCACGCCACCGCGCCGCCCCUCCCCCCCCUUAAAUAGCGCCGCCCCGGGCCCCCCUCUCUCUCUCUCACUGCCUCGCCGCCGCCGCUCCCGCAUAGCCGCCGCCGCCGGCGAGAUCUGCCGCGCCGCCGCACUUCUGCCGCUGCCGNNNNNNNNNNNNNNNNNNNNNNNNNNNNNNNNNNNNNNNNNNNNNNNNNNNNNNNNNNNNNNNNNNNNNNNNNNNNNNNNNNNNNNNNNNNNNNNNNNNNNNNNNNNNNNNNNNNNNNNNNNNNNNNNNNNNNNNNNNNNNNNNNNNNNNNNNNNNNNNNNNNNNNNNNNNNNNNNNNNNNNNNNNNNNNNNNNNNNNNNNNNNNNNNNNNNNACCGCGCCGCCUGCCGCACCACCCCGCCGCGCCGGAGCUCGCCGUCGCCACUGCCCCGCCUCGCCGGAGUCCGCCGCCUCGCCGGAGCCGCUGCCGGUUUUUCUCAGCCGAACCGCCGACCCGGUAUAACCCCCCCGGUCCGGUUUAUUGUUAUUUUUUUUAGGUUUUCUGCGGUUUUUCUUUUAAAAGCCGGUUUUUGUAUUUUAGAUAGGUUAAUUAGUGGACGUUCUCUGUUUAGGUCUUAUAAACGAGCGUUCGCUAUUUAGCUUUUUCUUUUUCUGUUAUUUUCGCUAGGGACCUAGUUGUAGUUAUUUUAUUUACAGAUUAGUCCCUGAUUUUCAAACAACCACAUCUUUUUACUCGUUCGUCCAAAUCCAACGAAACCAACGCCCACGCCUUCGUUAUGAUCUCCUCUAACUAGUAAAACAACUUAAACAUGUUUUUGAAAGUUUUAAAAUUUGAAUUCAAACAGAUUUGUAUUCAAACUUCUUUUGUUCAUAACUUGAGUUCCGUAGCUCCGUUUGAGUUGAUUCUUUUUGCAAAUCGAAGCUCUUGACCUAAACUUUCUGAUAAGGCCAAAUUCACAUAAUUUUGGUACUGUUAGAAAUUGUUUUAUG
rnacentral:lncRNA from 1 species